rnacentral:rRNA from 1 species
UACAGAGGGGGCAAGCGUUGUUCGGAAUUACUGGGCGUAAAGGCGCGUAGGCGGCCCGCUAAGUCGAACGUGAAAUCCCCGAGCUCAACUCGGGAACUGCGUCCGAUACUGGUGGGCUUGAAUCCGGGAGAGGGAUGCGGAAUUCCAGGUGUAGCGGUGAAAUGCGUAGAUAUCAGGAGGAACACCGGUGGCGAAGGCGGAUCUCUGGGCCAUUACUGACGCUGAGGAGCGAAAGCGUGGGGAGCGAACAGG